CUCUUCGGGGAUGAUUAAACCGGCGCACGGGUGAGUAACACGUGAGUGACCUGCCUUUUAGACUGGAACAACUUACCGAAAGGUGAGCUAAUGCCGGAUGAGUUAUAUAAGUGCAUGUUUAUAUAGGAAAAGUUGGGGAGACCUGACGCUGAAAGAUGGACUCGCGUCCCAUUAGCUAGUUGGUAGGGUAAUGGCCUACCAAGGCGACGAUGGGUAGCCGGCCUGAGAGGGUGGCCGGCCACACAGGGACUGAGACACGGCCCAGACUCCUACGGGAGGCAGCAGUGGGGAAUUUUGCGCAAUGCUCGUAAGAGUGACGCAGCGACGCCGCGUGAAUGACGAAGGCCUUCGGGUCGUAAAGUUCUUUCGACAGGGAAGAAAAUGCCUAUAAGUAACUGUGUAUGUAUUGACGGUACCUGUAUAAGCAGCCCCGGCUAACUCCGUGCCAGCAGCCGCGGUAAUACGGAGGGGGCGAGCGUUGUUCGGAGUGACUGGGCGUAAAGAGCACGUAGGCGGUGUUGUAAGUCAUUAGUCAAAGACUAGAGCUCAACUUUAGUAAGGCUAGUGAUACUAUAAUACUAGAGUAUCAGAGAGGAUUGCAGAAUUCCUGGUGUAGCGGUGAAAUGCGUAGAUAUCAGGAGGAAUACCGUUAGCGAAGGCGGCAAUCUGGCUGGAAACUGACGCUGAGGUGCGAAAGCGUGGGUAGCAAACAGGAUUAGAUACCCUGGUAGUCCACGCUGUAAACGAUGGAUGCUAGGUGUUGGGCUUUUAAGUUCAGUGCCGCAGNCAACGCGAUAAGCAUCCCGCCUGGGGAGU
rnacentral:rRNA from 1 species